UACGUAGGGGGCAAGCGUUGUCCGGAAUCAUUGGGCGUAAAGCGCGUGUAGGCGGCCUUGUAAGUCCGUUCUGAAAGCCCGGGGCUCAACCCCGGGAGGCGGAUGGAUACUGCAAGGCUCGAGUACGGAAGAGGCGAGUGGAAUUCCCGGUGUAGCGGUGAAAUGCGCAGAUAUCGGGAGGAACACCAAUAGCGAAGGCAGCUCGCUGGGACGUUACUGACACUGAGGCGCGAAAGCGUGGGGAGCGAACAGG
rnacentral:rRNA from 1 species